CCUAUCGUAGUCCGACCGGAGCAAAUCAUCGGACCCAUUCCCUACCGUCCAUCUUUGCUUCAUCUGAUGGCCCACGAAUAGCUUGAUUCAUCACUAAAAAAAGACAUUUAUUUCCGCACUAUGCCAGCCAGGUUACCCCAAAUCACGCUGCUAAUUAAGGAUGGCUUUGGCUUCUUCCCCAAAUCGCCUCUCCUGCGAUGCGCCGCCGAGAUCGCCGCAUAUGCCAGCUCCACCGCCGAGCUCGGCGCCUAUUCCAGAUCCACUGCGUCGUGCCCUACCAUCCCGUUCCCUGCGCCACUUCUACCUGGAUUGAUACCCGCGUCGGCCGUCGGCACAUGAUGCCGUUCCGCCAUGUUGAAGCGUGGUCAAGGCCUCCCUGAGUGCCUGCGGCCGGACAUUUGAUUCAAGGCAGGGAAUGGCUUCGUUCCUUGCAGCGGCAGGCUAUGUCCUCUACCAGCGCGUCACCAGAUCUUCUCCUCCAGGGUGACCACUUCUUUACCAAUCUCUAAAUAUGUCAUCCCGUUGUUCCCUUUGUUUACUGAAGUACCAUGCAAAUUGCUGCUAGGAUUAGACUCUUCUGCAAUUUUGAAGAUUAAGUUUGAAGGCUAGCAUUUAGUUAAUAGAUCGAAAAUUCAUGCAACCUGAUCUUGGAAGCAAACAUCCAAUUAGUUUCUAUAUGCUUCCAAUGCGCUUCAGUUAUGUAGUGAUAGCAUCAUAUUUUGUCUUCAACAUGCACGCUUCAUACUUCUUCUGUAUAUGCUUCUCAUCUACAACUAGAGUGGCACUAUGACCCCGCUUCUUGGUCAAUGUUAUUGUGUGCUUCCAUGCUUUCCUAACACCAUUACUGACAUGCAAGAUUUGUCAAAUCCACUUUUAGUACAUGUAAGUCUAUGCUUUCAUUCUAGUUUAUUAUAUUUUCAAAAUACUAAAGGCCCAAAAUCACAGUUUCUACUAUUUUUAAGUACAAGCCUGCAAGCAUAGCACUUGAUCCGCUGAUAUUAGAUCCUAAUAUGAUAUUACAAGCUGCUACUGCUAGAGUGUAUUUUUUAAUUAAAUGAUUUUUGUUGUUUGACUUAGGAUGAUGAAAAUUCAAAUUAUUUUUUGGUCACAAAUUUCAUCACCCAGAUAUUUGCAGCAGCACGGUAAUUUUCGUUUAUAAAUUUAUAUGCUUCCACUCCCAAGUGUUGUCAUAGAAAUUUUAAUUGCUACAUAGAUUCAUUGUUUCGAAGAUGUGCAGUAUGUGCUUAGUUGAUUGGCAAUACAGUUAUGCUUCUAAAGUUUGUAUUCCUGCUUCUUAUAUCUCCUACAUAUGCUUCUGAAGCAUUAUAUUUUGUAUUCCUGCUUCUUAUAUCUCCUACAUAUGCUUCUGAAGCAUUAUACACUAAUGAGACAGUGGGUUUACAUCCACACAAAUUGGCGGUAACAAUAGGAUCAUGAACAUAUUUUUUUGCAAACAAUCCCCGACAUGGAUGUCAGGCGUUUAGCGAAGAUACGUCAUGAAGAUGGAACCAGUGGACCAAUAUGUGUCGCCAUGGUCUAUGAUGAGCUAGCUGGCAUGGUGAAGGUUCCAGUGCAACGAACCGCGGCAAACGUGUUGGUAUGGUCUGUGAUGAUGUAGUUGCAUUAUUUUGCAAGCGGCCUUCAAUGGACAGGCGUGGUGCAGUCUCCCCCGUCGACGGCUACAGCAUCAAACCGCACCAAACAUCAACGCAAGCACAUCACUCGAUUGUUCAAACAAUGUAGAUAUAUACGAAAACUCUAUCCCCCUAUGUAUGAAGCAAGUGACAUGAACAAUGUAACAUAUGCAUUUUCAAUUAUAAUAUUUUUUCAUUGAA